rnacentral:tRNA from 1 species
GCCUGGGUAGCUCAGUUGGUUGAGCGUCGGACUUUGGCUCAGGUCAUGAUCUUGUGAUUUGUGGGUUCAAGCCCUGCAUCGGGCU